UAUUUUUUUCUAUUAUUAUUAUUUUUUAUUUUUUUAUUAAAUUAUAUAUAUAUAUAUAUAUAUAUAUGUUAUUACUAUUGUGAUUAUUAUUAUUGUUUGUAUUAAUUUUAAUCAAGUUCAUCAUGUAAUGAAAAUCAUUUGUGAAUGAGAAUCCAUCCUUGAUUGAAAUAAUUCAUCCAAUAAAAUUCAUCCAAACUCUAACACAUCAACCCUAAUUGAUUCUUCCUGGACUUAGGAUCUUCUAUGAAUCAUGAAAUCACCUUGCAAUAUUUUAUUGAUCCCAAACAUUGAGGAAGAAUCUCUUCUGGGUUUUUCCACAAGGUGCUCUAUUUCUUCCAACACGAUCUUGCAAACUCCCUUUCGCUCCACUUUGGAUGAGGAUUCGAAGUCGUUGAAUAGAAUUGCAAUACCGAUGUUCCUCCUCCGGCUCACCCCAAGCCUGUUCUUGACUUCCGCAACCAAUGAACUCUUACACAAUCUUGUUGUGAGGGUGUGGAGUGCCCUCGACGUUCCAACACAAGUUCCUGGUCGGCACCUUAAACCACCUCUUUGCCUUGCCAAGUACCUCCUCUUGUCUAUAAGUAGUUGAUACUACUUCGGAGAUUGAACUCCAAGCUCGCACUUGCUUACUGUUUUGUUCUUGAGUAUCACCAACCCCGGUUCAUAAGAGAACAGCGAUGCAAUUUUGCCUGGACUGCUUGACCCGUACCACCAGCAUCAUUGCCUCAAGUCCCUUUAGGAACCUCAACUUGUGUAGCAAGGAUUCAGGCCCUAGAUCAGCGUUGCUAAUCCUUCUCUUGGUCUUCAACCGUAACACUGCUUGUCUCUAUGCAGAUCACAUGGGAAAAAACAAAAAAAUCCACUUCUUGUUGCCCUUGUCGGAGACCAAUCCAGUCGCACACGCCAAAAAGUUCACACCUCAGAAGAUGCUUCUUCUCGUCAAAGCAUCCGCAAUGCCCAACCCCAAGAAAAGAGAACAAGGAAGGGGGGGGGGGGGGGGGGGUUGCGGAAUUUGGCCCCCCGUUAAUGUAGACCCCGCCUUAAUCUCCUAGACAAAAUUUUCCAACAGCCUAGAACUUGAACUGCUCGUCCAAUAAUUGCAGCUCAAGAUUCAAGUCACCGCGAGAGAGAAAAAACCAAUAAUCGCAAUAAUUCACGUCGGCCACCUCGGCUUUAGCUGCGCCACAGUCGCCAAAACCAGCAGCCACACAAAAAACCCAAGAACAAAAAGUUCGACCGCAACUCUGAUCUAGUUUUAUUUUUUCGAUGCUGCAGCAAUACACUAUUCUAAAAAACACUGGAAGUGUAAAAAUCCAACCGUCGGAGCUAGACUCCUCCCGAAACAAAACGGAAGAAUGGAAGAGGAGGAGAAGAGCAAAACAGAAGAGAAAGAGAUCAAGUAGUGCUGCACCGCAACACCUUCACGAUGCAAAGGAGACAAGAAAAUUGUUCUCAAAUGAUCGGAGCUCGUCCCACACGAGAGAGAAAAAAAAACUGAAAACAAGUGAGAGAGGGAACUGGGGCGGCCUACAUCCCUAUCAGUAGAGAGGCUGCCGGAAGUUAGGGGCAACCUCUCGCCCUGGUGAUCAUAUCCUAUUUUCUCUACUUUUUCUUUUGUUUUUUUUCUUUUCUUUUUCCUUUUUGUCUUCUUUUCCUUCGUCCUUCCUUCUUUCCUGUUGUUCUCUUUCUUUUUCUUCAUUCACCUUCUUCCUUCUUCUCUUUUCUUCUACUAUUCUUUUCUGCUUUCUACCUCUUCCAUCUACUACAUAUUAUAUAUAUAUAUAUAUAUAUAUAUUUUCCUUUUUUGACCAUGCUUCUAAUUUUUAUAUAUUUAUUUAUCUUUUAUCCUAUAUAUAUAGUUUUAUAAACUAUUAAUAAAUAAUAAUUUUUUUCUUUUUUGACACCAAGAUUACUUCCUUUGUAUUUCCUCUAAUAUUAGCUAACUAGAAAAAUAUAGUAUUUAUAGAAUUUUUCUUACUAAACACUAUCUUAGAUUGCGUGUCUACUACUAGCAAUCUAUUUUCUAUUUUUUCCUAAAAUUCUACAACUAAUUCAUAAAUUUUUUGUUUGAAGCACAACAAGUGCAUUUUUUAUACUAAAUAUCAAAGAAAAUCAAUUCAGUGGCUUACAAUGCCCUUCUACAAAAAAAUCAAAUCUUUCAACUUUAUAAUUCAAACAAUAAAGGUUUAAUUCUAAGAACCAAGGCUCUAGGGAUCAAACAAGACAAUAAGUAGGUUUUUAUGUAUUUUAUAAGAAAAGACAUCUACUUAAUUAAUGGUGGAUUCAACUUUUGGUGGUAACUAUCCCACAUUGUUUUGUAGAAAACCAGAUUUAAUAGUUCUUUUACAAUCAUCACCUAAUAAUUAUAUUUAAUAAUCAUGUGAUAAUUAUAGACAAGUAAUAUAACCUUCAACAAAUAAUAAUCUAAGGCCCCCAAAUUUAUACUAUGAUUAUGAAAAUAAUAAACAAAAUCAAAACGUACUUAAUGGACUUUAGAUUAAUUUUAGAUAGAUUCCAAUAAAUCCUAAUUAAGGUCGAUUUCAAGGUCAAAAUCCUUCUAAUUAAUGAAGACAUAGCCAAAGGUCUCAAGAUAUGAAAUUUAUAUCCCAGUCAAUAGGAGAGUUGGAAGAAAUUCAAAAUCUUGUAUAAUCUAGUGAAUCAAGUCUUUUUUUCAAAAUUAAAUUUAAUACUUUUGAAAAAAUCAUCCAAGAAAAAAAAAAAAAAAAAAAAAAAAAAAAAACUUACCUAAAGUAUCAACUCUUAUAGUAAUGACUAAAUCUAGAGCUGCAUCUUUAUUUAUCCAUCAAAAAAAAGAAAUUAGUACCUUAGACAAAAUCCACCUUACUUCUUAGAUUUAGAACAAGUCAUAAUUGAAACAAUUAAGGCAAUUUAGAAUAAUAUUGCCAAAUUUAUAAGGUUUGAUUUUUUGAUAGAAGAACUAUAAUUUCAAAAUCUUGGAGUUAAAUACAAGCUAAGUGUUAAUCCAGAUAACUAUAAUUAGGAAGGUUCCAAAAUUCCCACGUUUCAAGUUCCUCAAUAAUACAAGAAUGUAAAAAAAUCCAAUAUACAAGAGUAUAACUUAUGGAAUAACCUUAGAAAAUAAAAGGCUAAUAUUACUUUUAUUUAAUUAUUAGAAAUUUUUCCAAUGGUUUGAAAGGUACUAAAAAACUAUAAUUCUAUGAAAAGCCAAAGAAGGCCUAAGGUUAUGAUGGUAGCAAAAAUAGAUGCUUCUACUAAAUGAAGUGAAAUAAAAGUAAAUAACAAUAAGAUUUCUAUUAUGGGUAAAAUAAUAUUCUAUACCAUUGUAGAUAGUGGAAGUAAUUUGAACAUUAUGUCUUUUCAAACCAUAGAGAAACUAAUGUUGAAUGUCACUAAUCUGUCUUCUUUUGUUAUUAAGAUGGCAAAUCAAAGCUUAUCUAUCUCAAUAGGUCAAAUAAAAAAUUGUAAGAGUUAGAUUAAAAGAGAAGAAUAUAUCUUGAUAUAUCAUGUCAUUUAGAUGCAUAUGUCAAGGAAUUCCUUUCUCUUAUUGCUUAAGAGGCCAUGGUUAAGGGAUUCAAAAGCUAUAGUUAAUUGGAGAAGAAACAAGACUCUCAUCAUCUUUGAUCUAUGGAAAAAUAGAACCAAAAUUUCUAUAUGAACUAUAUUUGAUUAUAGAAAAAAUAAUUCCCUUAACUCUAUAAAAGAUAUCCAACAUUCUAAAAUCUAAGGCAAGUUAACAAAGGUGGUUAAUUCAAUUGGCCAAGAUUUUAAAAAAAAUAGAAUGCUUAGGUCCCAAUCCUUAUCAUUAGAAGGAUGACAAGGAAUUUAAACAAUGGCUAAAUAAUCAUCUAGACUCUAAUUGUGAUUAUUUCAAAUUAGUUAACUUUAUAGAAGGAAUGUUAGAGAUUGUGGAAGUUAAGGAAAUCUAAGUCUUUAGCAUUAAUAUAGAUAGAAAAUUAGAAGAAAAAUUAAAGUCCUUAAAAGAGAUGAUGACUUAGUUCCACCUCUUAGAUUUUAAAAUACUUUAUUGAAAAUUUUGAUUGGAAAUAAAGUUGUCAACUAUUCUCCUAUAUUUAGAGAUUAAUAUAUGAAUUCUUUAAUAUAAUCUUUACUAUGAUAAUUGAAAUAGAAAAUCAUAGAUAUAUUUUAUAUAAGAGAAUAAUUCAAAAAUAUUAAAAUUAGAAUUUAUUUAAAUCAAGAAGAAGUGUCUAGAUAUCAUGAUUUGAUCAUAAAAUAUUGAAAUAUUUUAGCAUGGUCAUAUAAGGAUUUGAAGGGUAUAUCACGUAAAGUGGCUCAAUACCAUAUUUUUUUAUUCUUAAUGUCAAGGAAAUUAGACAAAAAAAAAGUUGUAUGAACUUCUAAUUUCAAUUGAUUGUUAAGAAAGAAUUAAAAAAAAAUUAUUAGCUGGAUUUAUUAAAUUAGUAGAAAUAAAAAAUUGGAUCUGUCUUAUGGUCCUUAUAAAGAAAAAAAAUGGUAAAUUAAGAGUGCACAUAGAUUAUAAAGAAAUCAACAAGCACAUCUAUAAAGACCAAUUUUUUCUUUCUUUUCAUUAAUAGUAUUUUAGACAAAGUGACAAGUCACAAAAACUAUACAUUUAUAUAUAGUUAUUUGGAUUAUAAUCAAAUUGCCAUAGCCCUAGCAGAUUACCAUAAAAUGACUUUUAUCACUCCUUGAGAUAUAUAUUUUUUAAAUUAUGUCUAUUAUGCUUUCUAAUGCCUCUUUUGCAUUCUAAAGAGUCGUGACCUUUGCAUUUUUGGAUUUGCUACAUAAAUCUAUGAUGGUAUUCAUAGAUGAUUUUAGCACCCAAUUCAAUACCAAGGGCCAUCUAGAGCAUGUAAAAGAGACUUUAAAAAGAUGUAGAAAAAUAGAAAUUGCUUUAAAUUCCAACAAAAUAUAUUUGGCAGUAUAAAAAGAGAUCUUAUUGAAUUAUGUAGUGUUUAAAGAAAGAAGAGAAUCUAACCUAGAAAAAAUAGAGGUUAUAGCUAAAAUACAACCUUCAACAAAUGUUAAGAGAGUAAAAAGGGUCUUAGAAUAUCUUCGAUGAUAUUAAGAAUUAAUUUCCAAUUAGGCCAUAAAAAAUUUAUCUAUUACCAAUCUUAAAAGAAAGUUGGUUAAGUUUAAGUAGACAAAGGAGUGUGAAGAAGCCUUUGAUUGGAUAAAUGCAACAGCAAGCUCCUAUCUGGUCUUAAAGCCACCUAAUUGAGAUCUUUUUUUCUAUUUUUAUUGUAAUGCUUCAUCUAUAGUAGUUGAUUGUACAUUAUAUCAACCAACAAAAGGUGGGCAUAAAGAUUAUCCUAUCAUAUUUACUAGCAAAAAGUUAAAUUUUGUAAAAAAAAAUUAUAGUACUACAAAAAAAAAAAAAAAAAAAAAAAAUGCUUAGCCAUGGUCUUUUCUAUGAAGUUUUAACAUUAUCUUCUAUUAAAUCUUGUGGUGUUUAUUAUUGACCAUAUUGCCAUCAAAUACUUAGUCAAUAAGGCAGAUUUGAGUAGUCAUAUAGCUUGAUGAGUACUAUUAUUGAGAGAAUUUGACUACAAGGUAGAAUACAAACCUAAAAAAUUAUAUAACCAAGCCAAUCACCUUUUAAGGUUAGAAGAAAAAUUAAGCCCUAUUCUUAUUAAUGAUAACUUAGCAAAUAAUUUUUUUUUAAUUAUUUCUACUUAUCCUACUUAAUAUAACUACAUUGCAAAAAAUUUAAAUUCAAAUCAUUUUUUGAAGAGUUAUCUAAAAAUAAAAAUGUAAGAUUAAAAUUAGUAGCACUCAUAUUGCCAUGAUAGAAAAAUGAUUAUAUUUCUAAGGAAUAGAUGGUCUACUCAAACAAUGUAUAGUGGUUGGUGUAAACUAAAAUAAAUUUUUAUUAGUUGGAAGUCUAUUCUAAUUCAUAAUAAUUAAAUUAUUGAAUAGUUUUAAUUAAUUAUGACUAAUUUUUAUGACUUAUUAAUUUACUAUUUAAUCCCCUAAAUAACCUCUUAAUCCAUAAAAAUAUUCAAUAAUAUUUAUACUUAUAAUAUUAUUCAAAAUAAAUUUAUGUAUUUAAGAAUCUAUUUUAAUAUUAUUAUUUUAUUUUAUUUUAUUUUAUUUUAAAAAAAUAUAUAAAAAUUAAUUCAUUCAUAAGAAUUCAUCUAUGAAUAAUUUUUCAUCCAUAAAUAAAAAUUCAUCCAUAACCUUGCAACAUCUACUUAACCUAGAUUCAUCCACUUUAAAUUCAUGAAAUUUGUCCAUCUAAUUAUCAUCCAUAAAUUUUUUCAGUUCAAUUAUCACCCAUAAAGAUCAUUCAUCUAAUUAUUUUAAUUCAAAUAAAAUACAUUCAAAAAUUUAAAAAUUAAGAGCCUUUAUUUCCCACAUCUUCGUAACAAUGCCCUUGCACAAAAUUCAUCACCACUUUCUUGUUGUAGACUGUCUUGGAUCAAGCCUUAGCUUUCUAGAAAUUAUACUUAAGAGCACUUUUUAUAAAAUAAAAUUCAAUUCAAAAAACUAAGUGAGCUAGGAGAAAUCUUGCCUCAAAGUUGGUGUUCUAAUUCUGCUAGUAGUAGACUCUUUUGCAUUAAAAAUUUCAUUGCUGCCUUUUCCUUCACCGGCUUCAAGUGUACUUAGACUUUUUAAAAAGUUGACUUGAAGAUCUAACACCUUUAAAAAACUUAGUUCCAAAAUUGUCUUAAUUCACCGAUUAUUGUCCUUCAAGUAGGUGCUCUAAUUUCACCUAGUAGUAGACCCUCUUGUACUAAAACUAUCGCCAUCACUCGUCCUUGAUUGACUUUAAGCAUGUGUAGUGUCUUAAGAAGUGUAAUAAGAAGAUCUAUCUAUCCUAAAAAUUUCAGAUUCUAACUCCAAGUAUCCAAAGAAAAAUCAACAAAAAACUAAAGCUAAAUAAGUUUGAGUAAGAUAGAGAAUUUUUGACAUAGCUUUUGUACAAAAAGAAGGAGGGAGGCCAAAUAAGUCCAUGAGGUUUCUUAUAGCUUGAUCCUAAGACCUAAAGAUGGUGGCCAUAUCUCUAUCCUUGAACCCUAAGGAGUCCAAACUAAGAUUUACUACACUUGUUGGUCCAACAAUCAAAAUUCUAGAUUGAGGCUAAUAGCCAUCAAAUGAGCCCUAGAAUUAAAUUUUUGGCCAAACUUACCGUGCUAUUAUAUUUAAAAUAUAUUUUCUAAUAAGGAUUAAUUAUUUACAUGCUUUAAUCUAUAAAAAUUUGUAAUACUUAUAAAGAUUAGAAGUAUGGCAAUUUGAAUUGAAUUUAAUUUACUCCUAUAUAACUUCUAACUUAUUUCUAACAUACUUAUAACAUUAUUAUUAAUAUAAUUUAAAUUAAAAAAUUAUUAUAACUAAAAAUAGAUAAUAAAAAAAUAAAAAUUAAUAUUAAAUUAAUUAUUGAUCUAAUAUUUAUCUUUAUAUAUUAACACUAAUUUUCCAUCAUCUAGAGUCUUUUAAACUAAUCUUUAUCUAAUAAUUAUAAUUUGGCUCUCUUAAUACAUUUUUUUGUUCUAAAAAUAUCAAUGAGUUGAUUUAAUGAUUCACAGUUAGUGAAGUACUAGCCAUAUUAAUGGCAUGCCAUAAUAAUGCAUGUGCAAGGCACUUCUUUGGUAGAUUGACAGCUCAAAAGAUAAUAAAAGCGAGAUAUCAUUAAUCUAUCAUGUUCCAAGAUGUCCAUGAUUAUGCUAAACAAUGUGAUGCUUGCUAGCAUUGUGCAUAAAAUGAUUUGCAUAUGGUACUUCUUUUUUACAUAUCUUUGCCUUUAAUUUCUUUUAAAAAUGAAGAAUUGAUAACAUCGGGGAAGUUCUUUAUGCCACAAAAACCUCAUAAAAUAUGAUGCCACAACUUGGUUGAUUUAAGGAUAUUAGUAGUGAAUAGAAUAAUAUUUUAAUAAGAGCUAAAAUUUCUAAAAAUUAAAUACUUAAUACACUUAUUGUGAAUUAUAAUAAAUUUUUAACUAAAAAAGAUUUAUUUUAGUACAUAUAUUUUUAUCUAUAGAUAAUUUUUCAUCUAUGAAUAAAGAUUCAUCUAAUUUAAUUGAAUUUCAUCUAUAAUUAUUCAUUCAAUAAAAAAUUCAUCCUCAUGAUUUAAUUUUAUUUCUAUACUUGUUCAUAUGAUCAAAAUGUUUAUUUCAUUUUGAGAUUAUUUAUCAAUUUUAAAAUUUCUCACUUCAUAAUAUAUAAUUAUUUUCUAUCUAAUAUGUUUUGAAAAAUGUUCUUACAAAAAAGAUGUUACUGGAAUAAGUCUUAACUACUAUUAGAGAAUUGCUUUAAUUGUCUUUGGUGUAUAUUCUAACUACUUAAUUUUGUUGUAUGUAAAAACUUUGUAAGUACAAACGAUGGCAAUUAUGUAGCUACUAGUAAAAUAGGCAAGACUAAGAAAAGUUAUUCUAAAUACAAAUUUGGCAAUGAAUUAAUAAUAUUGUGGCCACUCUAGGAAUGGAAUACUACUCAUAAGCCAUUGUCUUUUCAACAAAUUAAUGACUUUUAGAUACUAGUGACUCUAAUUCUAACUCUAUCUUACAUAUGCAAGUUCAAUUAUUCUUAGUAUUACCAAUUGGGAGAUCUACACAUUUGCAAUGAAUUUGAACAUUAACAAAAUAUGGCGAUAGGCUAAGGCAAUUUCAAAAAAUAUCUGUUCUAUCUCAACAAGGAAGAAGAAUAUUACAAUGAGUGUAUAUUAAAGUGGAUUGAAGUGCAUUGCAAUCAACAAAAGAGAAGAAGAAAUCCUCCACUAAGAGAGUUUAAAUGCUCCUCAUCGCAUGUUAUUGUUGCUACAUGUAAGAACACCUCCAUUCCAGUCACAACCACCACACAAUUUAGAUCAAUCACAGCAUUCCCUCCAAAGAUACAUAAUACUCAAAUUACAAUCUAAUAAAGAUCUAGGCAUUAGACUAUUGUUACACCAUAGUAAGAAUCUAGUUUCUCUAAGAGAGCAUCGCACUAUAAGAAAAACACUUCCAAUGCACAGCCGCUAAGUACUAAACUUUUGAAAGAUAAGUAAGAAGAUAUCCAAGUCGAUUGCACUACAACAACAAAAGGAUUCAUGUUGGAUUGCAAUGCCUUGAAUUUCAACUACUGCAAAUAUCCGUUGUCAAAAAAAAAAGCAGCAAAACUUGCAAGAGACAUUAUCUCUUGGAAUAAAAUUCCAACUAUUCAAUGCUAAAUUUCAAAGUUCAUAUCCAAUGAGAGAAAAAAACAGAAAAGGAAGAUUUUUAAAGAGCCCCUUAGAAGAAUGUGGCUGAAGUCUAGAACUACAUGAAUUCCUGUAGUCCUCUAAAAAAUCUAGCGAACAUCCAUUUGAUUGAUAAAAUAAAAAUAUAUAUUUUUUAUUUAUUUAAUUAUUUUUCUAUUUUCUUAUUUUUCUUUUAUUUUUAAUUUUUUUGAAUUGACCAAAUUAGAUUUAUAUUUAGCUCUUAAUCUAAUUAAAUUUUAAUAGAAAUUUUCUAUUGUAAAAAAUAUCAUAAAUCCAUAUCAACUAAAUUAAAGAGAAAUUAUUUAUUUAAAUUUUUUUUUCAAAGAAAUCCUAUCAAAGAUUCUUUUUUGCAUUGAUAUUAUAUUUUUUGCUAUUUUUUUCCAAAUUCUUAUAUUACUUCCUUAGGUUAAUGACUUUAAGCAUCAUAAGUGUAUUUUUUGUACUAAAAGAUAGUAAUAAACCAAUUCUAUGAUUCACAUAUUACUUUAUUAUUCUCAAUUUAUAUCUUUUUAUAUAAUCAAGAGCUUUAAAUUGUGGAAUUGAUUAAAAUUAUGAUUAUUAUAUUAGAUUUAAUAAAAAUAAAAAAAAAUCAUUAGAGGGUGCAUUAAAAAGAGUGAGUAUUAUAGGUGCUAUAAGCACACAACUUCAUAUUGUACAACUAACAUAAUAAGAGGAUAAAUAUUGUAAAUAUAAUAACUAUGCACAAUGAAGAAGAUAGUACCAUAUGCUAGCUUACUCAUGGCUCAAUGGCCCAUGUGCUUGUCACCUUGAUGCAAUCAAAACAAAUUAGGUGUGUGGAGCAAAUAAGUUAUAUAGAUAAAAUUAAAUAAAAGUUUGUAGUGAUGGCAAUCAAUCUAGGUAGGUAUGCUAAAAUCCAUCUUAUUAGAGCUAUGCCAAAGAAACAAGUUCCAAUUGAUUUAUCUUCAAGAUGAUCUAAUUUUUUAGUAAAUAAAAAGGUAUUAGAAGUACAUUAGAUCGGAAUAAAAUUAAAAAAGAGAUAGAAUACUACUUGCACUAUGUUACUAUUGCUUACUUUAUGAGAGGAUGGCAAGUUCAAAAGAGUAUGUAAGAAUGAAUGAAAUUCAUCCAAAUUGAUAUAAACAAAGAAGUAUGGCUAAAUAGAAAUCUUGAGCAUCGCUUCUUUUAAGUUCUUAGUAAUGACAAGUCAUCCAUACAAAAAAUUGCUCACUCAAACACCCCACCUCUUUAAGUGGAGUACAUGCAUUCUACAAACAUAGAUUCUAAGGUUUAAUUCUUGCAAACCAAUUCAUAUAAAAAUUUCAACCUAAAUUAAAAUUAAAGUUGUCUUAGACAAGUUUUUGAAAAGUACAUAAGACAUUGUACAAUAUUUUGGCUUUGUCUUGAGUAAGGAUUGAAAGAAUAGGUAUAAUAUAGAUCAAAAGUUUUAUAUGGUAAUUAAUAUAGAAAUAACUUAUGAUCUUACUAUUGCAAUUAAGAACCUGAUGACUUAAUCUAUAAUUUACUUAUAAUUAGAUUAUAAUAUCCUAUCUAUUAAGUGUAGAUAUUGUCUAGCAAUAACAUACCUUGUUUUGGAAAUGUCCAACUUUGACUAGAAAUAAUAGAGUCGAAAUAGAGACAAGAAAGAAUAGGCAGCUUCUUCCAACCACUUCAAAUGUUGAUUAGAACAAUACAAUUAAUAGAUUCUAAUUGAAAAAUUGGAAAGAAAAAAUUAAUCCAAGGCCAUCUCCAUCUCCAUCGUCUUACCAAGGCACAGAGAUUCUCAUUCAAGUGACAGGUUUCUUUGUUGGAUUCAAAAAAAAGAUUGUCAUAGUUAGAAAAAAAAACCAAAUAAGACAACAUCAAUACUAAUGACCCAAGACAAAAGAGUCUUAGUGCAACAAGAUAGAUAAUGCAAGAAAAGAAUUGUAAGUGGGCUUUAUUUCCAAACAAUAAAAUUUUAUAGUGAUGCAUAAUAUUCAGACAAAAUCAAGGAUCAUUGCUAAUAAUAUGAAGUAAAAGCCUCCAAAAAAUAACAAGAUGUGAAGAUGGUAUCAUCACAUUGACACAAUAAGAGUUAUUAUUAAUGAAAAGAGUUAAUACUAAUGUCAAUAAUGUAGACAAGUAAAUAAAUAUUACAAAUAAUUUACAAAAAAAAAAAAAAAAAUUGCCACGUUUGCUAAGUCAAAUAGAAGGAAUGGAUUGAAGAAUAGAAAUGAGAUCCAUUAUAAUAAGUAUUUGAAGGAAUAUCAGGGAUCCCUCAAUAUAAAUCUAACUUAAAAGAAUAGAGGAGCAAUUGACUUUCUUAUAAAAGAUUGAAAAUUAUCUAAAUAUUGACCUAAAUUGAGGUAUUGGAUCCUGAUCAAUGUCAAAACUUGCAAUGAGCAUUGCUAUCUCCAAGUCUUUUGCAAUACAAGGUGUAAUGUUGUUUGUAAUAGAAACUUAUUUGAAAGAAGCCUUAUACUUACAAAGGACAAUUAUAAGAACCUUACAAUGAGCAUACAUGGAUCUUAUAGUACACUUAUUAUUAGCUUUUUGUCACGGACACAGAAAUAUAGACUCGAGAUCUAACAAGAAGUUUAAGAAGAAUUGGCAAGAACUAGAUUAAUCAGAUGAGAAUAACACCAAAGAGGUGAGCUAGAGCUCCAUGAGAUGUGUUGUCAAGACUGAAGAACUCUUCAGCCUCGAUUCCAAUAUAUACUUCUAUUUAAGAAGCUUCUCAAGCAACUUCUACCAACUAAGAAGCUUCUAGAAGGUUCCAGAGACUUGCUUCUAGAAGGUUCUAGAAACUUAUCUCUAGAAGGUUCUAAGGACUAUGUCUCUAAUAUCUUCUGCCAACUAAGAAGCUUCUAGAAGGUUCCAGAGACUUGCUUCUAGAAGGUUCUAGAAACUUGUCUCUAGAAGGUUCUAAGGAUUAUGUCCCUAACACUUUUUGGAAUUGAUUCAAUAUGUAUGGUAUAUCAAAUGAACUAUCUAGCUCACCACUACUAUACAAUCUAUCUACUCAAAUGAUGGCAUGGAGGAAUCAACUCAUAGAAGCAUCUAAAAAUUAUAGGAUCCAAUAAUUCCAUCAAUACCACAAUACACUACACUACACUAGGAGCACCCCAUACACUGACCAACUUGAAAUUUCCUCUAUUCUGACAUUAAAAUGAAAGGUCAAAACCUACUUGUAAGUCACUGAAUUGACUCACUUGGGUAUUUAGUAUAAAAAUACACUUAUUGUGCUUAAAAUCAAAGAUUUUGUGAGUUAGUAGUAGAAUUUUUAGGAAAAAAUAGAAAUUAAAUUGCACAUAGCAGACAUGCAACCUAUUAUAGAAUUUAUUAAGACAAAUUUCCAUGAUGAAUAGGUUUUUGUGUAGUUAACAGUAAAUGAUGACCAAUGAGAGUAGCCCUUAUUGUCAAAAGAAAAGAAAAUAAAAGAAAAAUAAAUAAAAAAUAAAAAAGUUAAAAGGUGACCAAGGUGGCUAGAGGCUGCCCCUGAAUGGUAGCAGCCUCCUUGUUGAUAGGGGUCCGGCUGCUGGAUUUCUCUCUCUUGUUUUUUUGGUUUUUUCUUCACGUCUUCACGAGCUCCGGGCGCUUCGGAAUUAUUUUGUCCUCCUUCGGGGUUGGUGUAUGAGCUACGCAUGAAGCGGAGUCUGCGGCUCUCUAUUUCUACUAGGCAUGUGCAGCGGUGCUGCAUUUGGGUGCAACUGCUCUUCCACGUUGAGGGAGGUGGUUGUUUUCCCUUGUAGAAGUGUUGGAACACGUCGCAGUCGCAGUGUUCCAAUCCUUCUUUUCCUGUUAUUUUGUUUUUUGAUCCCCGCGGGUCUCCAACGGUAGCGUCAGCAUCGCUCAUUCUUCAUCCACCGAAAAAAGUGGCGGGGUCGGAGUUGUGACGCAGGCUUCCUUCGAAGGCUCGUUCUUCCGGUGUUUUUUUUUUUCCUUCGUUCCGUGAGUUUUGAGCUCUGCCUUCGACGGAGCUGUUUUGUAUCUUUCUUGUGAUGGUGUCUGCAGCGGUUGCCUGCUCGAUCAAGGGGGCUGCCUGAGAGCGGAAUCGUGCUCGAUUGUGGUAGCUGGUGUUUUGCGGCUGACCUGGUAAUUGAAGACUGCAUUGGGUCAAUUCUUGUGUUGCUGGAAUGACGUUGGAGCAAGUCUGUUUUCUCCGGGGUGUUGCGGCUAGGGUAGCAUCAGUGUUCAUGCUACGGUGGAGCUGCAAUCGCCUACAUUGUUGUACGGGUGGUCGAGGAACCUGUUGUUGUUUUUUUUUUUUUUUGUUUUGUUUUGUUUUGUUUUUUUUUUUUUCUCCCGUUUCAAUUGUGAGAGCGGCUCUCUUUGGCGGUGUUUCUUUGAUUCUUCAUGCGCCAAUCCUAACCCUCCAAGAUCUCGCCACAGUCCCUCAUCGUGUAUUUAUUUCCUUGGUUCCCCCUAGCGACGUUCCCUUUAGUGUCAUUUUCUAAUUUCCUGGAGCAACUGAUCUUCAUCGAUUUGGGAUUGUUGUUCCUCUCGCUGAUCCUGCCCUUGUCAUCAUUGCUUCGUUCACUCAUCCUAGUGAUGUUCUCCUGCUGGUCGAAGGUGGCAGGCGACGGUGGUAAUUGUCACCAUCACAGCGCCCUCGCUGAUGUUAUCUUGUAACCCAGAAUUGGACACAAGUCAUUGGAAAGAAAGAUUUUGUCCUGGUGCACUAAAAACCAAUCACAACUCUUCUGCACAAGGGAAAUCCUCUCGAUUGCAGCCGACUCAAGAAGUUCUCCAACGUGGUCGGGCCCUGGUGGUCUCUGUUUUUUCUUCAGCUGGAAAUGCAAACCAAGUCAAUACAGUUCAUACUAUGGGCGAUAUAAUUUUUGCCGAACCGUCGUUGUUGUUCACGACCAAGUGCUCCCACUAGAACACACCUAGAAGAUGUAGGAACUGUUCUCGUAGGCUGCUAAUGAUACGUUGAGGUUCUUGUUUUUGUUGCUAUUUAUCAAUCUUGUUGUAGAUUGCUAGCUGUGCAUUGGAAGAGCGUGCUGGAACAGGUAAACAUCAAAGAGGGAAGGCACUUUCCCUCUCCACAAUCUUGUUGUUCGAUGAACCAUGCAACCAACUUGCGGCUAGUAUCAUUCGAACUGGAAGGAUUGUAAGAGUUCAUGCUACCGAGCAUGUGCGAUAGCAAGGCAAGAAAAGCAUCGACUACAAUUAGUCUCAUCAACUCCCCGCUUCAGGAAGAUGCUGCACUGAGGAGUGGGGCUGCUCGAAGGAAAAGGCAACACUAGAAUCAACCCCGGAUGAACAGCAGUGACCUUUGAGAGAAUACCAUGGCGACUCGGCUUUAAGACCACAAAUUGUUAAAGGCAGCACUCAGGGAGAACGGAAGUCGUCCCAAGCUUUAAUCGCUCUCAAUUCUCCAAAUGCUUGGAAUCCAAGAUCAAGUACAACUUCAAAGACUAGGCAAGAUUACCAAGUUUUUAGUGAAUAAAAAAUUAUUUUGUAUGAAUUUAAAUCAACUGAGAUAAACCUAGGAUUUCGAAUGGGUGAGUUAUUAGAGAUGACAAUGAUCUAAGGUUGGAUGAAUUCUUAUUUAUAGAUGAAAAUCUAUUCACAGAUGGAAUUUCCUUUUGGAUGAACUUUGAAUUUUGGAAUGAUAUUUAAUACUAACAAAAAUUAAAAAUUAAUAAUAAUAAUAAUAAUAAUGUAAGAUAAAACAAAAAUUAUAUAGGCUUAAAUUAAAUCAUAUAAAUUUGUCUUUUAAGUGUAUGUUGUCGAUUGAGUUAUUUGAUUACCUUGUGUUAGAGUUGUGGUGUUCUUUAAGUGGUUGUAUUGUUACUGUGGAGUUGACAGUGGAAUUUAAUUGGUAGAGAAUUGAAAAGUAAACAAAAUAGGAAACAACUUAAUCAAUUAAAUUGUAAGCUAGUUGAUAUUGAUUAAUUAGAAUAGAUUAUAUGUUAGAGGGAUUUAUGUUAAUCACAAGUUGGAUUUUUUUGGAUUGUAGAAUACCUAAUUAAACAGUAUCAGAUACUUGUUAGAAAUUUGGAUAAUUACAUCAUUGUGAAUUAGAAAAGACUCGUUACUUGUGGAGGUUUAUUUUGCUUCACACUACCUUUUGAUCAGAUUUAAAUAUAAAAAUUACAAUCUUAACACAAAAUAUUAAAGGAUUAAAUGACCUAGAAAAAGUUAAAAUGGUAUGUAACUACUUUAAGAGGUAUUUGUCUAAGAUAGAUUUUUUAUAAAUAUAGGAAUAUAAAUUAUAAGACCCUAAAUUAAAUAUAAUUAAAAAUCAAUUAUGGCUUGAAAGGGGCUUCUUUGACUAAAAGGUCAAUAUAACCUAUAACCAUAAUAUUAACAAAAAAGGUGCGAGCAGUGACAAGAUAAGCAUAUGGAUCUCUUUCUACAUGUUGCACCUCAUAGAAUUAAUGGAACACACUCAUUUGAGGAAGAUUCGAUGGGUUUGUAUUUGUAGACAGGACAAAAAUGAUGUUGGAAUUUUGAAUGUAUAUGCAUCGCAUACCAUGCAAAAAUAUUACAACUUAUAAUAUGAAUUAUUAAACACACUUGCCACAGAUUUUAGAUGGAUCUUUGCAAGAGAUUGAAAUUUUAUAGAGAGGGAAUGUAAUAAAUUGAAUAGCCAAGGCUUGGUAAUGUCUAAGAUAGAAAAAAGACUAUUCAAUUUAUUAAAAAUUACAUUAUAAGUAGUCGACAUCUUUCCAACAUUAUACACACUUUACUUUAGCUAAGGCAGUAAGCAGUGCAAUAGAUUAUAAAAGCUGACUAGAUUAGAUCAAAUUUAUGACUUUAUAAUCCAUGAGAUGACUACAACCAAUGCAAACUAUGUGAUCUUCAAAGAGAACUAUCACUAGGAUCACCCAACGGUUUAGUAACAAGUAAAGUUAUAACUUGAAGAAAAGAAAAAAUCAAUAUAUAUAUAUAUAUAUAUAUAUCAUGAAUUUGACAUACUUAUUAGAUUAAGAGGUACAACGACAUAAAGAGAGCAAUAUGGAGUACAAAAAAAUUCUAUUAUUAUUAUAUAACAUGAAUUCUUGCUUAAAUAUACAUUAGACACUAAGCUAUGGAAGAUAAAUUGAAAAUGCAACAAGAAGAUCCUACUAAGUCUAAUAGAAUUUUGAAUAAGCUCUAAGUAAUCUUUAAUAAUCCUAAUCACAUUUUAACCAAUUCAAAAGAAAUUUGAAAUGAAUUACAAAAAAAUAUAAAAAAGUCAUAAAUUAAUUUUUUAAAAAAAUAAUAAAGAAAUCUUAAAAAAAUAAAAAAAUAAAAACCUUAAAGAAAUAAUAAUAUCCUUAAAAAAAUACUAAAAUAAAAGACGUUUAAAAAAGUAUAAAAAAUUCAUUAAAAUACUUAAAAUAAAAAUUCUAAAUAAAUUCUACAUAAAUCAUAAUCAAAUCUUAAUGUAUUCCUAAAAAAAUCUCAAUGAGAUUCUAAAAAUCUUAAACAAAUUCUAACAAAAUCCUAAAUAAAUCUUAACAAAAUUCUAAUUAAAUCUUAAUUAAAUCCUAAUAAAAUUCUAACCAAAUUCUAAUCAAAUUCUAAUCAAAUAUUAAUUAAAUACUAAUCAAAUCCUAACCAAAUUUUAAUCAAAUUCUAAUCAAAUCUUAAACAAAUCUUAGCCAAAUCUUAAAUCAAAUCUUAAUCAAAUUCUAAUCAAAUCCUAAUCUAAUCUUAAAAAUUUAUAAACCAAAUCCUAAUCAAAUCCUAAUUAAAUUUUAAUCAAAUUCUAACAAAUUCUAAAUAAUUCCAAUAUAAUAUAAAGUAAAUCUUAAUUAAUUACUAUAGCUAUUUUAAAACAUUAAUAAAUAAUAAUCAAACCAUUAAUUUUGAUUAAAUUUUUAUUCACAUUUCAAUCCACAAGCAAUUAAUAUGUACACAAAAUUUGAAGAGAAUCACCUAUUGAAAGAAAAGCUUCCAAAACCUCUUGGAUGUUGGUUGCCUUUCUUUUCCAAUUCAAAUGUUAAUCUUCCAACAACAAUUUCUUUUUGCUGAACUAUUAAAUUUUUCUAAAAAUUGUAUGUUUUGUAGAAUUCUAAAUUUUAAUUACUUUCAAUGAUUUUUGAUUCAAUUGAACUAGCAAAUGUUGCAAGAUUGCAAAAAUCCUCUCUAAUCCUAAAUUUCAAACUUCUAGGACCAUAAGCCACAAAAACUUUCAUAACCUUUAAUUUAAUCACUUGAUUAAUAUUAAAUUUUUUACACAUUUAAAACAAGCACAAUAACAAAUUGAUAAAUUUUUAUUCUCAAAUAUACUAAAAUAGUCACAAAAUCCUCAAAGUUGUAACCUUAUUUUUAUUUUUUAAAAUCUAAAUUCACUAAGUAUAUUUUUCACUUUGAAAGGCCUUCAAAACUUCAGCAUAUCUUCAAAAUACAUGAAAUUAACUCUAAAAUAUACUUGCAUAAGUUUACUCUUAGACUAUACUCUUGAAUUGUCUAAAGAACCUUGGAGUUGCCAUAGGUACAUAGUUAUGUGCCUUGGGGUGUGAUUUAACCUAAGUUUAUAAUAGGUCCUCUUUUGGUAUUAAUUCUUCAUAUUUUGAGGUAAUUUUUGCUAAAAAUUAUUCUCAAUCUUCUCUUAAAAAUACCUAUAUUAAUUAUUUAUCUCAUUUAUUUUGAUUUGACUCAUUUAAGCUUUUAAAAAAUAAAUAAAAGUUUAUUUUUUAAAAAGGUAAUAUUAGAAUUUAUUAAUUUUUAUUACCUUCUUGUCUAUUAUAUAUAUUUUUAAGAUAAUUUUUUAAUGUAUUUUCAUUUAAGUUAUUUUAUAAUAUAAUCUUUUAUUUCUUUUUUUAUCAUAUCGUUGUAUUAUUAUACAAUACUAUUUAUUGGUAAGCUCCAGAAGUGUGUGAAAUUUUACUGUACUUUUUGUGUACAACAUGCAAUAGAAUGAAAUGCAACUAGAGACACCAUACAAAGGUAACUAGCCAAAGUCAUUACUGACUUAUAGUAUAGCCCUGGUAAUACAAUCUACCAAGAAAAACUCACAUGUUAUGUAAAUCUAAUCUAAUAAGUCAAAAAAUAGAAAAUCAAAGAUCAAGAUAUUUGAAUUAGGAUAAAAAUAUAGAAAGCCUUUGAGUAGUAUAUAGGAGAGUUUUUUUGGACUCACAAGAAAAGAUUGGCAGCUUCUAAUAUAACAAAAUUAGCAAAUAAAAGUGAAAAGCGACAUAGUCAUUCAAACGUGUUGGCCUAUAUAUGCCAUUAAUUCUAUAAUAAGUUCUCCAGAGCCCGUCUUGCCACAAAAAUAACAAGGUAGGGAGAAAUUAAAGCUUUAUUAUGUAUUAUGGAAAGAUUAAAUACAUAGAAAAAAAAUAAGAUUAAGUAAGCUCCUAUCUUUAGUCAAAUUCAUAGCAGUUAUAAAAAAAAUAUAAGUAGAGAUAAAUCAUUGGGCCAAAAUGGUGUUAUCUUAGAAUUCUAUGAAAAAUUCUAAGACAUUUUGAGACCAAAGUACUUAAUCAUGUUGUAGAAAAGCAUACAAAAGAAAUAAUUCUUUUGAAGAGUUAUCCAAGGAUUAAUAGAAUUUUUACAUAAAGAAUAGAUACAGUAUAAUCUAUUAAAUUGGAGGCCUAUAACUCUACUCAAUGUAGGAUAAAAAAUAUAUCCCAAAGCUAUGCAACUUUGAUUUCAAUUAGUAUUGAUGAAUAUUGUCAAUAUGGAUCAAUCAACUUUUUUACCUAUUAGAUAUAUAUUGAAUAAACUACUUUUGUUACAUGAAACAAUGGUAUGAAAAAUCAAGUCAAUUACAUCUUUUUUUGAAAUUGGACUUUUGAAAAGUAGUAUGGUAGAAUAGAAAUUUCUAUUACAUACAAUGGAGGCAAUUGGAUUACCCAAAAAUUUUAUUUAUAUGGUUAAUUUUUUACUCAUUGAUGUAAAAACAUGUGAGAAAAUUAAUGGGUCUAUCUUUUAGUCUUUUAAGAUUAGAGAAAUGAGGUAUGGUUGUCUACUUGCUCCUUACCUAUUCUUUAUGGUAGUAGAAGUACUCAAUAUAAUAGUGAUGAAGGAAGCUAAUGUGGAACUUAUUAAAGAUAUAUAAUUGCUUAUUAAUAAUAAAAAAUAAAUCAUGACAUAAUAUAUUAUAAAUACCUCUUUAAUUCUAUUAGGAGAAAAAUAAAAUAUUCAAUAUGUCAUUUAUAUAUUUAAAACCUUUUUGUCUCGGAUCAAGCUUAAUUAUAAAUUAGAGUAAAUCAAGCGGACAUUAAAAGAAUAACAUUACUUCCAUUUGAUUGAAAUAGACUAGUAAAUUGGAUAUCUAAUAGCUAGAAGAGGAUAAAUCAAGUAAGUUAUUAGGAGCACCAUUUAGACUUUUGUUAAAUUCAACAAAUUUUGAUAUUAUUUUAUAACAAAAAAUUAACAAAAAACUAAACCAUUGAUAUUCAACAAUGAUUAAUACCACUAAUAGAGAAAUAAUUGUCAACACAAUUUUAUUAUUAAUAAUGUUCUAUUUUAUUUUUUUAUAGGGUGGUACAAAGUAAGGUAUAGCAAAGAUAAAAGCAUUUCUAGGAAAUUACCUUGCAAGAAGGACGAUAAAAUAGCAUGAUUAAAAUAUUGUCAACCAUUAAAUAAAAGAGGUAUUAAUUUAAUCAACUCAACUAAUGUAAUAAUAGCCUUACUAGUCAAAUGGGUUGUGAAAGCUUUAGAACUAUUAGAGUCCAACUUAUACAUAAUGUUGCAUUACCACCUUAGUCAAUUUCAAUCUUAUACAAGAAGGCAAUGGUAGCCAAGUUUCAAAUUUUUUACCAAAAUAAAACAUUAAAGUCACGAAGGGUUAAUAGUAUAGAAUAGGAUUUUGGUGGCAUGAAAAAAUAUCAUUCUUGAGCUAACAUACCUUCUUCCAACCUACCAAGAGGAAUGAAUCAAUUGUAGCAUUUGGCGUAAUUCAAUUAUAAGCUACAUUGAUCUUGACUUUUAAAAAAUAAGAAUAAUAGAAUUACAAUAAAUGGGAUUGAAAAAUUAUAAAGAUCAAUAGACAAAUGGCAAUUUUCUAAGUUUUAUAAAAAUUAAAGAUUAUUUUAGAUUAAUGCUAAAUGAAGAGGGAGCUUAAAAAGUAUUAAUCACAAAGACCAAUUACCAAAAAAACCAAUUUAUUUCAAAUCUAUUACUAGAAUUACAUGAAGGUGAAUAAGUAGAUCUAUUUCUAAAUGAUGACACUUUCAUAUUGACUAUAGUAUGCAAAAUAUUUUAAGAAUACAUAGCUAAUAUAUUCUCUUCAAAAUUUUGGAUCCCUAUAUCAAUUAAAAUUUACAAGUCUAAAGAGAGACUUAGUAGCUUGUGUAAAACUACACUUGAAUGGAGAUGUGCUCAAAAUGAAGAAAAUAGGAUCAAUGAUUUUAGUGGAAGAUACAUCACAAGUAGCGUCAAAUAGGUCCAAGUAUUAAUAAUAUAUAAAGGAUCAAAAAAGAAAGCUAUACACCUUUACUAUGAAAGGAUUGAUCAAAUUGUAUAGAAUUCUAAGCAUUUCUAGUAGCUUGAGGACAUUCCACCCAUAAAAAACUCCAUGCAUAUGGGUCAAUUCUUAUAUAUGAAACAUCACAUAGUCUCGAAUGCAAAAACUUAGAAAUAGAGAAGUAUUCUUUAGUCCAAUUUUAAAUUUAAAUGAACUAAUAUAUGGAAUGCUAAGAAGGCGCAGAAGAAGCAGGAUUUAUAUGGAUGACAUAACAUAGAGCCAUUGUAGUAAAUUCAUAGAAAGAAAAAAUUUGUAGAAACAUUGAUCAAUGUUAUCUAGAAUGUCUCUUAAGCACAUGCAAAACUAAGUUAUAAAAAUCUUGGAAAUAUAACUCUCUAAAAAAUACAUGGUUUUGGAGACUAAAAAUUAUUCAACUUUUUAUACUAAAGACAACAAUCAGUUCACUUUGGUAGCAAACAUAUAAUACCAACACAACUAAGAUGCAUCACAAUGAUAAUAAUCUCAAACAACAAAAAGAUACAAUGGCAUAUACUAAUCAAAGAUCAAGACUCAAUCAAUUUUUUCAUUAUUGAAACAUUAUAUAUUUGCAUAUUGAAUCCUACAAAGAUUCAAAAAAAUAAGUAGAUUAUAAAUUUUACUAUGAGAAAUCACCAUAUAGGUGCUUUAAAUUGAAAGGAAUAUUGCAACGUUCAAUGGGAUAUAUUGGCAAUUUCUACAAGUUUAUUACAAGAUAAGGUUAUAAUUAGUAGUUUAUGGUACAAACAUAUGAAUAAAAUUAUGAAUCAAUAUAUAAUUAACACCAUUACAAGCUACAAAACUCAUUAAAUAAUUCUAUUAUAAAUGGUGCACAAAUAACGUACUAGCAAUGAAAUAGAUCAAUAGGCUGGAAUAGAAGAUGUCAUAUUUAAAUAAUAAUAUAGAUCUUAUUAAUUAAUAUGUUUGAUUAUCUCUGACUGUAUUUUAUUCGAGCUAUGAAAUUUAUCUUAUUUAUAAUAGAAAAAACUCAUUUGUAUCAAAAAAUAAUGUAAUGUCUAUAUUAGAUAAGAAACUAUACAAAAUCUCAAUUUUUGUGAGAUUUGAUACAAAAUCAUAAUAACAUAUUAUAAAAGCCAAAGUUCAUAAUUAUGAUAUUUUACAUAAAAUAAUUGAUUUAAUUUAGAUAUAUAUUAUAGUUAAUUUGGAAGUCUAAUUAAAUUUAAAAAUCCUAAUUCAAACCACCUAUAUUUUGAUUUUCCAAAUAGAUAAUAAUUAGAAUAAUAUCCAAUCAUCAAUCAUAUGAAAAAAAAAUAAAAAUAAAAAUAAAAAAAAUCUAUGUAUAUUUUUAGCUUAAUAGAUGUGAUUGUUGUUUUAUUUAUUCUACAAUUCCUUCCAGAAUAAACCUGUAUAGGAGAAUUCGAACAUAGGGAAAGACUAAGCGCAUGAGUUUCAUUUGUUAGGGUCAUACAAUUAACUGUAUUCCGAACUACUAAAAUACUAAGAAAUACUAUAAUGCUUCUUUCCAAUAACAAUACUCCUUCAUCAACUAAUAACCACAAUGUGCAAUCCUGCACUCUCAAAAGACCGCUCAAAAUUCUAUAAAUUCCAUCCAACACCAAGAAUAACAGACUUCACUCCAACCAAUCUGAAUUCACAGAAUUCCUGUAAUCACAGACUUCCUCUGUUGAAACACACACAAACAACUCUCAAUAAACAAUAAUCAUAAUCAUCGAAUAACUUGUCAUAUAAUUCAAUCACUCAGUACUCCAAUUACAUAAUCAAUAACUCAUAAAUCAAUCUUUGAUUUAUUCCACAGACUUACUUUUCAGUAUUCAAAAACUAUCCAUUAUUCUUUAACAACAAAGAAAACAAAAGAAACAAAGAAGAAGCACCAAGCUUAACCCCAGCUCAUGACUAUCACAGUCUGGCCCCCCAAUAAACUUCUACAACUCCAAUAUAGUUGCUACUGUUUCCAAAUUCUAAUCAUAAUCCUAUAAUAACCACUUUUAAUAACUGAAUCAAUCAUCCGUCUUCCUAAACUGACUAUUCUAUGGACUAUUAAUCUAUUUUAUCAAUAUCUUACAAAAAUAAACUAAUAUAUAUUUUACCUAGCUCUACUCCUAUCUAUGCAGCGUCCUCACAAACACACAAUUGAUUCCUAUGUAAAAACUACUUAACAAAAUUCUACAAAAUUAUUAAUUCCUCUGGCCCACCUAAUUAAUCAUUUGUUGUAUUAUCGAAUGUAGGUUCUACCAAUUCUAGUUCUAAAUUCAAAUUUUCCUCCUCCUCCAAUCUGUCCAUCGACUCCUUCCUCAACUAGUUUAAUAGAUCUUCAUUAUACUCAUCCAAUUCACAGACUUAAGCCUCCAGUUUCAAGAUUUGGGCAUCACGGAGUUCCAAUUGAUGUUGUUGCUGACUCAUCCAUUCUAGAACAUCUUCAAUUGACACUUGAGACUGGCUUCUCACUAUUAACUCUUCCGUCAAUUUUGUCACCUCAGCUUGUAAAACUUCGAUUUUGGACCUCAACUUCUCCGUUUUGUAUCUGGAUUGGUCACUCAAUACUUCUUUCUCUUCUGUCAAUAACUCUGCCUUGUCUCCUUCCGCCUACAACUGGCAUUUAAGUUUCUCCUAUUCCAAAUCCUAUGUCUUGCGAUUCUGAAUCAAUUUGUUUUGUUGUCCUUCCACAAUCCAUAAGAUGUGUUCUUUUUCUUUCAUCCAAGACUCAUAUUGGUAAAUCUAUUUCCGCUCCAAUACCAGCUUGGAUUCUCCAAUUUCAUUUAUCAUCCAUUCUUGUUCUUCAAUUCUUUGGUUUUGCUCUAAUAUUACCUUCUUACUGUCCUCAAAAUCCCAUUUGCUACUGCCCUCUACAUCUAAUGCUCACACCAUAUAAUGUAUUUGUGAAAUGUGCUUCAAUAAAGCAUUCUUAAGAGGUAUUCCUUCGGGCAAUCGAUCUUGUGGAAACGCCAACUCAUUAAUAUCCUUAGAAAUUGGGGUUUCAUUUUUCUCUUCUACCGCUAAAUAAAUUGGAACUCGUUUUGAUUCAAUAAAUGGAACGACCCUUUGUACCACUAUAUGACUUAACUCUCCAAUUUUGUGUAUUACAUUCGCUGUAUUGACAAUUUGUGCCAACAAAAUUAUUCUCUCUAUAGAGACACUGACACUAGUACAGGACUUUCUUCUACAGGCAUUGUUUGACACAAUGUAUGUGCAAUCACAGCAUACACAUAAUUGAAAAAAAGUAAAUAAGUGAAUUUCUCUAAUUUCUACUUGGUUCCUAUCUCCGCUUGAAUACGAGUGGCUACGUACAUUGCCCAGUUGAACACCAUCCCUUCUAGUGCCCCUACCGCUCCCUUGAAAUAUCUUCCUGGAUUGAAGUUGCUUGAGUCAUCAGCUCCUACCGCAAUUUCUCCAAUGGGAAGAUACAGCACCUUUUCCAAGAUUGUUCCAUCAAUCCCGAUAAUUCGCCCUUGUACCACACUCGAUCCAUCCUUCGGGUCGUAGUUUGCGAUAUAUCCCUCCUCUAAUGACACAUUAAUUGAUGGUAAGCGAUUUGACAGGUGCAAAAACUAGAACAACUAUGCAUUUUGAAAGUCUUUUAUUCUUUUUGGCGUCCAGCAGAUAUCCAAUUUCAACGGCUCCAUAUUUGUAACGACUAUCACAAAAGGUGGUUUUGAUGUGCGUCUAACUCUCACAUUUUGGCCUCUAUCCUCUUUAUCUAUAGCUCGCUUUGUACUUUCAAUUGCCAUGAUGCUUCUCCUCUCAAACUCUUAACUGAAACUACUACACUCGAAAACUCAAAAAACACAAGAACUAGCAAUCUCAAAAAACAACCAAGAACAACAACACAAAAUAACCUCUAACUGGUGCCCCACUCCUAUUCUCUUACUACCAGUGAUCAUGACAACAUAUUACCUAUACUAUCCGUUUCUCACCUUUGUCCCAUCUGACACAUUAAUAAUUAUUAACUAUCUUUUCAGCCGCUUCUACACUCUAACGCACUUAUAUCAUACUUGGAUCUACCUUGUGUCCAUUCGAAGUCACUCCUCCAAGAAAAAUGAAAACCCAUCCCAGAUUUUAUGUAUUAUAUAACUAUAAUCGGUUCCCGUUAAUGCGGGUACUGAAGCGAUGGCCCAUGAAAUCCUCCAAUUGAACAGAUUCAUUGGAAAAACCUUCAAUUACUCGAUACGGUCCGUGCCAACGAACUUGAAAUUUUCUCAAAAAAUGAUUAAAUCGGCUAUCAUAUAGUAAUAUCAAAUCAUUGGGCAUAAAAAUCUUCAGACGCAAUUUACUAUCAUAGUAAUUCUUCCUCCAUUUUUGAGUUGCAUUUAUGUGGAAAAGAGCUGUAGCUCAUAUUUCAUCCAAUUCUUUCAAUUUUAUCAACCGAGAAUAUAAGGACUCUUUGUCACUGAGUCAUUCAUCCAAAGCAAUUCAUAAAUUUUGAACCUCCAACUCAAUGGAUAAAAUUGCCUAUUGACCAUAAACUAGUUGAAACGGAGUAGAGUUGGUAGUUACUUUAUAUGCGAUGCGAUAUGCCUACAAAGCCACAAAGAGUUUGGUCUCCUAAUUGGUGCCCGCCCCUAAAAUUGUCUUAAUCAAGACCUUGCACAAAAUUUCAUUGAUCUUUUUCAUUUGUCCAUUAGCACGAGGAUGAUAUGGAGUGGUUUUUCGAUGCUUAAUCUCAUAUAUGUUCGUCAAGGCAGCUAUGGUAGGAUUUAGGAAAUGGGUGCCGUGAUCGCUAACCAAUUCCUUCGGACACCCAAAUCAAGUUAUAAUAUUCUCGUAUAAUAAAGUAGCCACCGUACUGACAUUAUCAUGGCAGGUAGCAAUAGCCUGUACCUAUUUUGUUACAUAGUCCAUGGUGACUAAAAUAUAUCGCUUCUGGCCAAGUUUUGAUGUUGGUGUGAUGGAACCGACAAAAUCAAUAUCCCAUUUUUUGAACGAAGCCUGUGCCAAGAUUGGAACUAACGACAUGGCGCAAGUACCCGUGGGUCCACCAAUUCAUUGACAGGGAUCACAACGGCAAAUAAAUUGGUGCGCAUCAGAAAACAUUGUGGGCCACCAAUAUCCGGCCAUUAAAGCCUUGCAAGCAGUACUAUCUCUUGUAAAAUAACCACUACAAGUAUCCAAAUGGCAACCUUUGAGGAUCGAUUGUACUUCACUUGAAAAGAUACAGUGGCAUAAAUUGCCAUCUUUGCCUUGUUUAUACAAAGCGUUGCGAAUCAUUGAGUACAGGGCAUUCUUUAGAAUAAGUCGCUUCUUAAGCUUCUCAGUGAAAGUCGAUGGAAAGGUUUGAAAGAUCAAAAAUUGAAUGAUUUCAUUAUACUCGGGAGAAAUCACAUCCACCACAAAUAAUUUGACGUCAGGAAGAGCAUCCGGGACAAGCUCGUUGCCGAGAAUAUUAGACAAUCGGGAUAAAUGAUCAACAUUGGCAUGUUUCUUUCCAAGUCAUACGACAAUCAUAAAAUUAAACUCUUGUAAGAGUAAGAUCCAUUGGACAAUGCACCCACUCAAUUGAGGCUUAUUAAUCAUGUAUUUGAGGACACCAUGAUCCACAUAAAAAAUAAAUGGAUAUCCAAGCAAAUAGUGCCAAAAUUUUUGAACCGAGUAUAUCAUACCCAACGCUUCUCGUUCAGUAGUAGUGUAAUUACGUUCGACAAUCACUAAUUAUUAACAGGCAUAAUAGAUAGGAUGAUCCAGACCCCUAUCAUCCUUCUGACUUAACACCGAUCGAAUAGCCACAUUGGAAGCAUCAACGUACAUAUGAAAGGGCUCCGUCCAACGAGGAGCCACCAAUAUUGGUGCAGAGACCAAUUUUGACUUCAACGCUUCAAAGGCCAUGGUACACUCCAUGGUCCAGAUGGGACUAGUUCCAUCUGACAGAGAUUUCUUCAGUAAGUUUGUUAAAGGUUGAUAAAUAACUGCAAACGAAUGAAUGAAUCUUCGAUAAUAACUUACAUGGUCUGCAAACCCAGGAAUAUCGGAGACCGUCUCUGGGUAGAGCAAGUUCAUUAUAUGCUGCAUUUUGUCAGGAUCCAUAGCAAUACCAUGGCUGGAGAUGAUAUGUCUCAAUAAUUUAUUGAACGGAACACCAAAUUGACACUUCUUUGAGUUCAACGAUAUUCCAAAUUUAACACACCAAACCAAAUAUUUUCCCGGACAAUUAAGGUGAUCCUGUUUUGUAUUGAAUGUACAAAAGUCAUUUAAAAAGAUCUCCAUAAACAGCCAGAGAUAGUCUUGGAAGGCCAGAGUCAUCACUCUCUGAAACGUGGGUGGGAUGUUACAUAAUCCAAAAAGUAUCAUGCAAUAAGCAAAUGUACCCCAAUCCGUACUAAAGGUUGUCUUAAGCUGGUCUUCUAUUGCAAUUUGAACUUGAUUAUAUCCAGAAAAUCCAUCAAGGAAUGAAUAACAUUCAUGAUCAGCUACGGCGUCCAAUAUACUAUCUAUGAAAGUUAAUAAAAAAUAAUCCUUCUUGGUGGCCGCAUUAAGUUUUUGAAAAUCCUGACAAAUGUGGAUUUUUUCAUUCUUUUUCGGCACCAUGAUGAUUGAAAAAACCCACUCACUAUUUGGCACUGGAUAAAUGAAAUCAACCGCAAGAAGCUUGUCCAAUUCUUCCUUCACCAUGAGAGAAUAUUUAUGAUUAAGGCAAUGUUGCCUUUGUUGUACCGGUUUAGCGUUCUCCUCUAAAAUGAUACGAUGCUCACAGACGUCAGUAGGAAUAUCCUUUAAAUCAGCAUAAGUCCAAGCAAAAGUGGACUUAAGAUGUAAGAAAAAUUCUAUCCAACAGGUCAACUCUUGGUCCUUAAUACCUUCAUAGAUCUUAAUCGUCCGUGGCUUUGCUGUGGUCGCCAAGUUAAUAGUUUGACAUAAAAAUGCAACGGCGAUGUUUUGUUUCAACUCCCGUGCUAGUUAAAAAAUUAGUCGGUAAAUCCAACAUGAGCAAAGUACUUAAUCCUGUGUCCAGGGCACUAACAUGGUGCACAUCAUAUUUGGUCAUUUAAUCAAUACUAACAUACUAAUGGAUUUUCUGAAUCCGUCGGAUAUAUCAAGUACUCCGUCGGAUAUAUCAAGUACUCCCCCGGACCUCCACAUUGGUACACCACUCCAAGGUUUAGGAUUUAGGGUUUAAGGAUUUAAGGGUUUAUAUUUUUAGGGUUUAGGGUUUAGGAUUUUGGGUUACAAGAGUAUCCUAGAGGUUUUUGAUCCUACAUAUCUCUCAAUAUAUCACAGUUUUCUUCAUUCUAAAAUUUUGCCAAGGCUUGUAUUGUCUCAAAGACCUCUAUAAGUGUUUUUAUUUUUCAAAAAUAUGUGUUUUAUUUUUUGUAAUUUAGGGUUUAGAAAUCCGGAUUAGGAUUUAGAAAACCCGGAUUAGGGUUUAGGGUUAGAAAUAGAAUUAGGAUUCUAUUAUAGUAGAAACAUACCUUUGUUAUAAAUACCAAGUGACGUGAAUGCAAGGAAAUUUUAUAGGAAGUGAAGCUAAAUUCCUUGAUAUUCCUCUUUAGACUUUACAUUGUAGAGGUUUAGGGUUUUAGGGUUUAGAGUUUAGGGUUUAGGUUUAUAAGGGUGUCUUCGAUUUUUGGGCAUCAUUAUUUUUGGAUUUUGACUUGACUUACCCUUCCCCCAUUUAUGGUGUCUAGGAUGUCAAUGGUAUAAUUCUUUUCCUAUACAAGUUUAUAGUUUGGAAGAUUUAGCUACUUUGACUUAGAAUUUAGGAUUUUGACUUUUGUCAUACAAGGCUUUUUGAAAUUUUUGAAAAGUCCAUUGGAUUUGUUUGAGGGUUGCCAAUUGUAAAUAUGUACUUGAAGUUUUCAAAAAGUGCAUAUAUUUGUAGUUAUUAAGUGUUUGACUAUUUUGACUUUUGAAUUGACUUUGCAUAUGAAUAUGAAUUUUGAAGUUUUAAUUUGAGCUACCCCCCUAUUUUAAGGGUCUAGGAAUCUAGUGAUGGUCUUGAAAUCCUAUACAUGUUUUUCAAUUUUGAGAUAUAAGGCGUUUAACUUGAUACAAUUUUCUGUUGAUUUUUUGUGUACUUUAUUGUUUUGAAUUUUUGAUUUGACCUACCCCCCUAUUUGUCAUGCUUUUGAUUCCAAUGGUAUGUUUAAAAUUUUCAGCAAGUUUAUAGUUUAGGAUAUAUGAGAUUUUCAAAAUAGUAAAAUUUGCCUCUUAUUAAUAUAUGAAAAAAAUAUUAUAAAAAUAUGAAAUAAAUACAUAGAAACUUUUGGACAUUAUAAUAAUAUAUUGGAUAAUUUAUAUAGGUAAAUGUCUUUUUUCUUUUUGGAAAAUAUUAUAUUUAUACUAUAUGUACUUAUGAUUUAACUUUAUAUUAUAUGUGUUCUAAGCCUAUGCAAUGGAUUGAAUAUGAUUCCGCCAAUUUGUACCAUAUUCUUGAAUGAAGUGGCAAGCUCCUCCAACACGAUCUUCAUACACUCCAUCAUUUUUCCAAUAUGCACCACUAUUGGUCUUCUUUAACAUCAAGCCAUCUACACGUCUAUCUACGACCCUACUAUGAACAAACCAAUGUGCAUUGUGAAAAAAUUCAAAGAUGAGAGGACGAAUACUUCGAUCAUCUUGCUCCCAACCAUCGUAGAGGAAUUGCCCUACUUGUAUCAAUGCUUGUUGACUUGCUUGGGCACUUCUCCACUCUCUUGCUUGUUGAAGUUGUCGCUCCAUAUGCUUGCCACUCCAUCCUAUUGCUUGUCUAGCAAAUCUUAAGGCACUUUUGACUCGAAUAGAAGGUGCAUAUGAAUUUCUUCCAUGAAUCUCAUUGGCCAACGUUGCUAAAUGACUAUGGCAUAUUUGAAAGAAUCUUUAUAAAGAUUCUUCUCGUAUAUCAAAAUGACCUCCUAUAGCUCUUUCUAUGCUAGAAUAUUCAAAAAGGUCAAGAUUACUAGAAAGUUUAUGUUCAUCUAUUAUUUUCUCUGUACGAACACUAAGCUCCAAUCUCAUGCCUAAAAGAUAAUUUCUUGAUAUAUCUUCAGACAUUCCUUCCCACCUUGCUAAUAGGUCUCGCAUUUGAUUUAGUCUAAUACGCAUAGUGCGAAUUAUCCUAGGGAUAUCAUCUAAACAUUAUUUUUGUAUGACAACCAAUAUUGCAUGGCAUAACUCUUGAUAGAGCUUGACUUUGACUAUACGAUUGUCUAUCUUUGACUUAAAAGAUAAUGAUCCAUAUCCUUCUAUAUUGCACAUUUCGUAUACUUGACUUUCUAUAAUCCUUUGACUUUGUAAUUGAGUAUCAUUAAAUUUGAAGAGCAUAAUAUUAUUCUCUCGAAAAUUGACUCCAUAGUCAUAGAGAUUCUUACCAAGAGAAAAAGUAUGACCCAUUUCUACAGGGUUUAAGGUUUAGGAUUUAGGCUUAGGGUUUAGGGUUUAGGGUAACAUGGAUGUCGUAGAGGUUUUUGAUCCUCAAUAUCUCUCAAUAAAUCACAAUUUUUUUUGUUGUAUAAUUUUGCCAAGGCUUAGAGUGAUCCAAAGACCUCUAUAAAUGUUUUUGUUUAUCAAAAAGAUGUGUUUCAUUUUCUAUAAUUUAGGAUUUAGAAAUCCUAAUUAGGGUCUUCAGACCCUGAUUAGAGUUCUGACUUGCAUAUUUCUUCUCAUGUGAGAAGUGUGUAUGGAGUAUAAAUGCGUACAGAACUCUGCUUACUUAAAGCAAUCCCCCAUAGAUAGGUGGUUCACCUAGUCCAGGUCUAGAGAGUCCUUCAAGCUGCUUAUCCAUAUGUCUUUGCCCACUCUCCACCUACUAUACCACCGGCUCUCCUUUCAUCAGGAUCAUCGUUGACGGAGUCAAUAUCAGCUCCAUCUUUGACUUCUGCAAGACUCCCGAAGGCGACGUUGGUGCCUACCUCCAAUGCAUCCGUGAGUGUAGCCUUCGAGACUACGCUGCUUACUGUAGCGUCGUCUGUAGUCACAUUAUAGAUUCUACAAAAUCAGACAUCGACAUGCUUGUUAAUCACCCUGCAGUCACGUCCAUUCCUCAAUCGACCUCGACCAAGACAACAGAGGGCUCAGCAGUAGCGGGUACUAUGUGAGCCCGACCAACAUCAUCCUAGGCAAUGAAUUCUACAAUGCGGCACACCCUGUACUCUAGUGGGCCGAGCUCGAGUGCUCCAACCACUGGCUCAAACUGUCACAUCCCGAUGGUCCAUCGUAGGACAAGUCCUCGUACCUCAACGCUCGAUCGUAGCUCCCCAAUGCACCAACUCGCGAUAACCCUUCAUGACACCCUAUGCUCUGAUCUCUCGUCGUUGCUUCUUGUGCCGCCGUAGGCAUCCACUGUAGCUGCUCCGACAUAUGCACUAAAAACCACACUCAACAAUGGUAAUUCUGCCCAUCCUUACAUGGCUGUGUCCAAGUACCGAGCCGAAUGCAGCCAAUACUCAAAUACUUAAAUGCACCCAAACUCGCACGCAUCGCCUUUCUAAGAGCUCUCUUUUUUGAAAGUCCCUACAUGCUAUCUCCGAGUAGUAAUAUCGCCACGGAUUGCAACACCUAGCUUUCUCGCCCGGAUGGACAAAUGGGCCCUCCAUCCAAUCAUGGCUCCUCCCUCUCAUACAUCGCCUCACCUAGAAUUCCAACAUCCGGAACUCAUUGCACCCGUACAUGUCUAUCACCGGCCAUGCCUCCUCAUCCUCGGUGUUUGAUGACAGAAAAUUGUUGAACGAUGCAUCAAGAAAUGUCUGUAAUCCUAGCGACCAGGUCUCUCGGCCCCCAACAGUGAUGCCAAUCCCAAGUUCAACCCUCGCAUGUCCGUUCAACUUGCUCUCUUCUUGCCUCCCCAUAAAAGCCCCCUUCAUCGCUCCCCGCCUCGAUCCGCGAUUCCUCGUUUGCCAUCAAAAAUCCCAAAAACUCACCCUUGGACACCGACGACCUCGGCGAGCUCCAAAAGAAAUUGUUGAAUGCGUGCAACUCUAAACCCUACCCCCAAAAGUUGUGGCUCCUCUGGUACAUCCCAUCCAACGUGUCAUCUCGAGGCGCCUCUACAUCAUGCAUUGCCGUGGAUAAGAACAAGGUUCACCACCGAAUUGCAUACUGUGCUUGCACAUCCUGCAACAUAGGCAUGUAGUCACCCAUCGAUUUAUACAACGAUGGCGACGAUAAACUCCCCCUUCUAGUGAUGCUAGUCUCUCCGCUCCACCGCUCAUAAAUGGUGACUUUUUAAACCAGGUUUGCGUAUAAAGUGGUUCGUGAUAAGCACGAAAAGAGUGGUGUACAUGCGCAAUUGGAAUUGGUUAGUAAUCCAUACCUCGCGAGUAUGUGCAUCUAUUUUCGUUGACGUCUAUUUAUUAGUUUGCUUCGUGAUGAUUUUAACCAAACCGCACUGUAAACUGACCUACUUAACUAGUGAAAUUACUUUAUAUAAAGUUCAAGUUCACAUGUUAAUGUUCGUUGAGUUAUUGGUUGGAAAGGGGCUAUAGGUUCCUUUCUUGCCCCACCUAAGUUGCUUGUGAAUUUCAGAACUUGUUUCAAAGUAAUCUUUGUCUUCCUUUUCAAACAUGCUGUGAAGAGCAUGAGUAUGAGAGCGUAUUGCAUUUGUACUAUUGUAAUGUCUUUGGCUGGUCAUGACAGGGAGGGAAUUUCGAAGCUGAAGAUUUAGAAUUUAGUUUGAAAUCACGAGGUGGUAGAAAAAGACUGAGACUCAAUCAAGUAGAUGAUCUCUUGCCCCGAAAGCAUGUAUCCCAGCCUCAUGAAUAGAUGGUCGAUUUUGUUACAUUUUUAUAGCAUUAGUCUUAGCUUGAAGAUAAAUGUGUCAUUGUAAUUUUUUUCUUUUGGUGUAUAUAUAUUUUAUUAAUGUAAAUGCGCAGCUUGCAAUUAAGAGAACUUAGAGAAUCCGUCAAUUGAUCGGUGCCAAAGGUCUAGGAUUUAGAGUUCAGUGUUUGAAUCUAGCAAAGCCUAAACUAAAUGAGGUAAGAAUUAUGUCUUUCCUUUUUAGUGCAGAUAUGGUAUCUGAGGUAGAAUUCAAAUGUGAUGCAAAUUCUGGAAGAUGGGAUUUUCAUUAGAUUGUGAAUCAUAUCUCUGCAAAUUAUAUCUCUACCUUUGAAUCUAGAUGUAUUAAACCAUAAACCUGGUUUAAUUGGAGUAGAGUUGAUGGUUUAUGGUGUGGCAUUUGGAAUAUAAAUACAUGCAAAAUACCUGCAGUUGAAUACUUUUAUGUCAAGUACCUCUGUCAAUUUCUCCAGGAGUUCGUUCACCAAAAAAUCUUGAUAAAGAAAAUCCUGUUAAAGUAUCUCCAUUUGUAUCUUGUAUGUUGAAUUGUCAUCAAAUGUGUACUCUAAUUGUUAUUCUCAACUAGACAUUUAUAAGUUUGAAUUCAAUCUAUAAAUAUUAGUUUUUUUAAUUUAUAAUUUAGAAUUAGAUAAAAGAACAUGAUAUUAAGGAUUUUAAAGAUUAGCCUUUUCCUUUUGUGGUAACUUUUAGUGAUUUUUGAUGUAAUUUAGGGUUCAGGGUUUAGGAUAGAUUACAUUGGGUCUAACCAUAGAAUCGUAUGGUAUGAGAUCUGUUAAACUUGGUCGUCUCAUUGUGCCUAGUAUACAAUCCGUCGACCUCAACAAUAUUGAUUGUGCAUGUUUUUAUGACUCAGAUUUAUACACCACUAGCUUUGCACAGUUUUACUUGGCAAAGAACAGUGCAAUUUGUCGUUCAAAAGCUCACAGGUAUUCCAUCGGAGUGGCAUGAUUCUGUCCUGUUUAUUCGUUUUCAUUAGCAUGUGCGAUUUGUAACCAGGAGGUUGGUUGUUUAGAGAUAACGCGAAUCACUCUGAAAUGCAUGCGACCACCAACACUGGAGCAACAAAGUAACCUGUUGGUUUAGAUGAUUGUCCUUGACAUGAGCUCUCUUGUCACAACGGCUCAACAGUAAUGUCAAACUAGCACAAGAAUAGUAUGUACCAGAGACUUUUUAUCUAGACGUGCACAAGAGACCUUAAACCAACUUCAGUGACCUUUAAUUUGAUGAUUUGGUCAGACACUUGUGCACCCACAUGUGCCAGGAAAUCAUGCAUAAGCCAAGUUGAUCAUUGUACUCGGUCUUUCCUUCACAAGUCACGGUGCAAAUAUGUGCAUAGUGAACGUCGCCCGACACCUACAACGCACUUACACGAUUGUAGAAUAAAGUGAGAACAAUUGAAGGUCAAAUACAAAAAUCGAUAGGUUUAAUUUUCAAUUGUACUGUUUUAGAAGAGAAACCUAAACCCACCACCCACCACCCGCCGCAUUUACAACUUUAUGUAUAAUUAAAAGUUUCACAAAUUGAGACACCUUCCGUGCAUCAGGGCCUCGAAGCGAAUAUUGAGUUCACUUUUACAUUCAAGAUCCCCGAACACAAUAUUUGUCUUUCUCCCUAGAUGCAUUUCCAGAAUGUGAUUGAGGCAAUCAAUUUUCUGCUACGCUCUCCAAAGAAAGUUCAAAUCUGGGUUUCGGAACCAAGAACAGCGGUUGCUUCUUGCUGACGGAGAGGCCUAUUGUCUCAGUCAUGUCCACCUCAGUUUGACCUUCCGGCAGAGACCAGUCGAAUACAUAGAGGAGAUUCGCUAACAUCAAGGCCACCAUCGUAUUCGCCAGCCUGUAUCCUGGGCACAUCCGGAGGCCUUUUCCGAACGGCAUGAGCUCGUAGGGAUCACUUGUGCUCAUGUGAUCCACGUGAGGGCGUGCAAGAAAUCUAUCAGGAUCAAAGCUGUCAGGGUUGUCGUAUACACUUGGGUCUCGGUGGAUUGCGAAGGAGUUCACUAGCACCUCCGUUCCUGCCGGGAAAUGGUACCCAAGAAGCUCUGUAGGCUCUCUUGAUUCAUGGGGAAGUAAGAGCGGAGGAUGCAGCCGGAAAUUCUCUUUCAUCACGGCUUGCAGAAAAGGGAGUUGUUGGAUGUCGGAUUCUUCCACGAGGCGCUUGGAACCUAUCACUGAAUCCAUCUCAGUCUGUGCUCGCUCGAUCAGUUCUGGCCUCCUGAUGAGUUCGGCCAUAGCCCAUUCUGAAGUGUUCGAACUAGUCUCCGUCCCAGCAUUCAACAUUUCCUGUUCUACAGACCAGCUGUUGGUUACUCUCGAUGCCCUACACGUCCUACGCCAGUGACUAAGAAAUAUCAUUAUGCAAAAUAGUGCUCAAAUGAGAGACACAAAAUCUCUUACCUGUAGUAGCUUUAGAAGGUCCUGGUCAGGGAGAUUAGUGCCGUUUUCGAAUGGCGUCUCCAUUAGUACAUCUUCAAAAUCUGGGACAUAGCUUGGGUCGUUUUUCAUUUUUUUAUAAUUGUUUCUGUGGCUGUCGAGGUCGAAAAAAUCAGCCGUGAGUUUGUCUGAAACAUCGCGGAUCUUGGAAAACUUGGAUGCAUGUCCUUGUAAUUUAGUGAUGAAGCUCAAGUAGGGCACAAAGUCGCUUAUGACUACAGAACCAAGAAGUUCAAAGACACUGGAAGUCAUCUUCUGAAGGUCUUGUCCUUGCUUCUCACCAUCGUCUCCACUGACACCGUAGAACCUGCGCACGCGCAUGCGGGUGUAACAAUGUGAGUAGACAAGAACACUAAAUCACUAAGUGAAAACACAAUGUAGCAAGGCCCUGCUUUCAUGUAGGAUGAGACUCUAACAAGUUCAUACUGAGAAAAGAGGAGUGUCUUUCUUUUACUUAAGUUGCAAAACCUCUCUAGAAGCAGGUUCGACAUAUUGCAUCAGCAUCAAAAUUGUAGAGAAGUUGAAAAUACUUGAAGAGAUGAAUGGGGUUUCAGAGUUAAGACGAAAUUGAGGUCACCCUGUGUGGAAAGGAGCAAAACUUCACAAAAUCCUUGUUGAAGUUUUGAUGAGUUGAAAAGAAAAAAGCUCCAAAGAUGAUUUUUCCUUCAGGGAUUUGAAGUCAUACACCUGUUCUGGAGAGGAUAUCGUGUGUCUUCUAACUACCGUAGCAAUUUAUUCCAUCAAGAGAAUACCCCACUACUCUGAGAAAGCAAGCUAUGGCGUACCUCUUGCCGACGACCAUCCGGGUCAUGUUGUUGGAAGUUGUGCCAUGCAACCAGGUUUGGAGAUUCACUGGAUUGCCCUUUUCCGACUCCUCUAGAAGAACUUUCAUCAUGCACUGGAUCUCCUGUGCUCUUGUAACUUCGUAGGAGGCAUGACGCCUUGGGGAGAAGAGCUCUGUAUUCAGAAGCCUGCGCAGCUUGCGAUAAUAGGGUCCAUACUCAGCGAGGCCGAUGUUUCUGUAGUUCUCGUCAUUGUUGUUCCAGACGGUCCAUGAGAACCUCUUCGGCCGCGAAGCAAAGCUUGCAUCAACGGUUGUGUAGAACUCCUUAGCCACGGCAGCCGUGGAAAUCACUAAACAUGGCUUGGCCCCUGGUGGCACAAUGCAUUUCAAGGCUCAGGAUAGGGAGGAUCAAAUGGGAGACAUCAACUGACAAGGCAACAGCAACAGAAUUGUUGGACUGUGAAGGGAACGUUGGAGCCACACCUAACCGGAGAUACAUGAGACCUCCAUACUUGCCGGCAAGUUUGUGCAGGUUUCUGUGGGGCAGGUCUCCCAACGCUGAAAAGUUUCCCACAACUGGCCAAGGCCAAGGCCCUGGUGGGCAUCGCCUUCGCUGCAGAGCCUCAGCAUGGAAGUAAAGCACCACGACAGAAAUAAGCACUGCAGCUACAAGAACAUCGGCGAGCUCAAAUCCAAACAGUAGUCCACCCUCAGCCAUGUUUAUGAUUCCUGUCGAUCACGCUAGUAGUACGCCCUUUAAACCUACCAGGUGGCCAGGUUUUUGCAAGCCCUGGAAGCUAACUUGCGGCCGACGACCAUCAUAAGUACCCACCAAUUUUGGCACCAUGACAGUGGCAGAGUGAAAUACUAGCGUCAUCCAACGCCGUGAAAUGACGUGUGUCACGACGGCUGGACAAAAGAUCCAGUUGUAAUUGGGUUUCAACGAUGCGAUGCGAGUGUGUGGUCCGCUAGGACCAUGACGAGCAUGGCCACACGAUUCGGCACUGCGCGAGUACGAAAAGUGCCACUGGAAACUGCACACUUUCAAGCAGCCACGCGAAGGUCACCAAGGCAGCAACGCGGUCCAGCUCAGCCAGAGGAUUACCCUUCCCCUCACUUUGUUGUGAUUAGUUUGUUUUUCUCUUUGUUUUGUUGGGUGGUUGCGUUUUUUCCUUUUUUUAUAAAUGAAUAAACUUGAACCAUUCAUGUGGUACAAAAAAAAGGUGUCAGAGUGGGAAGAUAUAUGAGGGAAAAUAUGAGUGGAAAGAUAUAUGUGGGAAAAUAAUGCAAUUCUACAUCAAAAAAUCAUCCUUUUAAAUGAAAUCCUUGAAACUAUAAUAAAUGAAACUUUUAAGUACAAAAAAAACUAUAAAAUUUACAUAUUGUCUACAAAAAAAUAAAAAUGUGAUAAUCCAAAUUAGUAAAUGCUUUAUAAUUUGUGAAAAAAUGUAAUUUAGGAUUUUGGGUUUAAGGUUUAGAGUUACAAGGGUGUGCCCAGUUUAGAGUUUAGGGGUUAGGUUUAGGGUUUAGGAUUACAAGGGUGUCCUAGAGGUUUUUGAUCCUAAAUAUCUCUCAAUUUAUCAUAGUUUUUUCUGUUCUAAAAUUUUGCCAAAGCUUAUAUUGUUCCAAAGACCUCUAUAAAUGUUUUUGAUUUUCAAAAAUAUAUGUUUUAUUUUUUGUAAUUUAUGAUUUAUAAACCCUAAUUAGGAUUUAGGAUUUAGAGUUAGGAUUAGAAAUAGAAUAAGGGUUGCAUUUGAAUAGAAACAUACCUUUCUUAUGGAUAUCAAGUAAUGUAAAAGUAAGAGAAUUUUAUAGGAAAUAAAACUAAAUCCCUCGAUAUUCCUCUCUAGACUCUAAAUUGCAUUUCCCCCCUUUAGUAUCCUUGGGUUUAGGAUUUAGGGUUUAGGUUUAGGGUUUAGGGUUUAGAUUACAUGGGUGUCCUAGAGGUUUUUCAUCCUCAAUAUCUCUUAAUGUAUCACAGCUUUUUCUGUUGUAAAAUUUUGCUGAGGCUUAGAGUCACCCAAAGACCUCUAUAAACGUUUUUGUUUUUCAAAAAGAUGUGUUUUGUUUUCUGUAAUUUAAAGUUUGAAAAAAAUAAUAAAGAAAUCUUAAAAAAAUAAAAAAAUAAAAAUUUUAAAGAAAUAAUAAUAUCCUUAAAAAAAUACUAAAAUAAAAAACCUUUAAAAAAGUAUAAAAAAUUCAUUAAAAUACUUAAAAUAAAAAUUCUAAAUAAAUUCUACAUAAAUCUUAAUCAAAUCUUAAUGUAUUCCUAAAAAAAUCUCAAUGAGAUUCUAAAAAUCUUAAACAAAUUCUAACAAAAUCCUAAAUAAAUCUUAACAAAAUUCUAAUUAAAUCUUAAUUGAAUCCUAAUAAAAUUCUAACCAAAUUCUAAUUAAAUUCUAAUCAAAUAUUAAUUAAAUACUAAUCAAAUCCUAACCAAAUUUUAAUCAAAUUCUAAUCAAAUCUUAAACAAAUCUUAGCCAAAUCUUAAAUCAAAUCUUAAUCAAAUUCUAAUCAAAUCCUAAUCUAAUCUUAAAAAUUUAUAAACCAAAUCCUAAUCAAAUCCUAAUUAAAUUUUAAUCAAAUUCUAACAAAUUCUAAAUAAUUCCAAUAUAAUAUAAAGUAAAUCUUAAUUAAUUACUAUAGCUAUUUUAAAACAUUAAUAAAUAAUAAUCAAACCAUUAAUUUUGAUUAAAUUUUUAUUCACAUUUCAAUCCACAAGCAAUUAAUAUGUACACAAAAUUUGAAGAGAAUCACCUAUUGAAAGAAAAGCUUCCAAAACCUCUUGGAUGUUGGUUGCCUUUCUUUUCCAAUUCAAAUGUUAAUCUUCCAACAACAAUUUCUUUUUGCUGAACUAUUAAAUUUUUCUAAAAAUUGUAUGUUUUGUAGAAUUCUAAAUUUUAAUUACUUUCAAUGAUUUUUGAUUCAAUUGAACUAGCAAAUGUUGCAAGAUUGCAAAAAUCCUCUCUAAUCCUAAAUUUCAAACUUCUAGGACCAUAAGCCACAAAAACUUUCAUAACCUUUAAUUUAAUCACUUGAUUAAUAUUAAAUUUUUUACACAUUUAAAACAAGCACAAUAACAAAUUGAUAAAUUUUUAUUCUCAAAUAUACUAAAAUAGUCACAAAAUCCUCAAAUUUGUAACCUUAUUUUUAUUUUUUAAAAUCUAAAUUCACUAAGUAUAUUUUUCACUUUGAAAGGCCUUCAAAACUUCAGCAUAUUUUCAAAACACAUGAAAUUAACUCUAAAAUAUACUUGCAUAAGUUUACUCUUAGACUAUACUCUUGAAUUGUCUAAAGAACCUUGGAGUUGCCAUAGGUACAUAGUUAUGUGCCUUGGGGUGUGAUUUAACCUAAGUUUAUAAUAGGUCCUCUUUUGGUAUUAAUUCUUCAUAUUUUGAGGUAAUUUUUGCUAAAAAUUAUUCUCAAUCUUGUCUUAAAAAUACCUAUAUUAAUUAUUUAUCUCAUUUAUUUUGAUUUGGCUCAUUUAAGCUUUUAAAAAAUAAAUAAAAGUUUAUUUUUUAAAAAGGUAAUAUUAGAAUUUAUUAAUUUUUAUUACCUUCUUGUCUAUUAUAUAUAUUUUUAAGAUAAUUUUUUAAAGUAUUUUCAUUUAAGUUAUUUUAUAAUAUAAUCUUUUAUUUCUUUUUUUAUCAUAUAGUUGUAUUAUUAUACAAUACUAUUUAUUGGUAAGCUCAAGAAGUGUUGAGGUAAAAGAUAAAGAUGUUGAGAUAAAUAGGUAAUAGUAAAAGUAGAAUAAGUUAUCUUGUAGAGAAUAUUCUCUUAGGUAAGUUACUAAUGGUCAAAGGCAACUAAGGACUAAGUGGCGGCUAGGGUCUCGACAGGCGGCUAGGUUUAAUGUCUCGACAGACGGCUAGGUUUAGAGUCUCGAGAGGCAGUUAAGUUUAGGGUCUCGAGUGGCGGCUAGUAAUAGAUGAAUGUGGAUGAAUUCUAUACAUAUUGGAUGUGAACUCUGAUUAUAAGUAACGGGUGUUGGAAGUAAGAGACAUCUCAUUCCACACUUCUCUUAUGUGAAACCUUGCUGAUUUCUACUUACUUGUGUUAUGCUUAUAGUAUUUCUUCAAUAGGUUAUGGGCCCACACACUCUCUGUUGUGCUAUUCAAGUAAGUUGAAGUCAUUUUCUCUUUGUUGCUUUUGUGUGGAUUAGAUCUUAUGGUAUUUGUUGAUGUUAGGUUUGUUGGUACAAGGAGGCUAUUGGUAUUAAGCUUGUACAUCUCUAACAUUGCUUUGUGGGUUCUUAUCUCCUUGCUUUGUGAGGUUAAGACUUUGUUGAAAGACCUUGAUAGUGUCUUUUUGAGUUGGUGAAGUUUCUUCAUUAUUCUUGAGUGUUUUGAUGAGAAAGUGAUUAAGACGAGUGAUUGUGAGUUCCAUGAGGGUGCAAUCACUUGUAGAAAGCUUCACAAGUUGAGUUGAAAGUGUUUUCAGUGAGAUACCACUCUUUUGUUCAUAACAGGGCAUUCUGAGAUUCUGCUAGUGCAUACUUCGUUUGGUGAUUUUAAGCUUUUAGAGACUCCUUCUCUCAAUAUUUUUUGAUACACUCCUCCUUAGACAUGGCUUCUAGUGAGGGUGAAGGUUUGAGAGUGAUUGAGAAGUUUAGAGGCAACAAUUUCUACCAUUGGAAGGUCAAAAUAGAGCUUUUGUUGGCAUCUUUGGACCUUUGGGAUAUUGUAGAUGAGAGUGAAGACUCUCCAAGCAUAGAUGCAAGCCCUAAGGACCACAAGGACUUCAAAAGACGUGAAAAGAAGGCUUUUGGCAUGAUUGCCACUAAUUUGGAUGAAGCCAACUUUUCUCACAUUAUCCAUUGCAAAGGACCAGCGGAAGCAUGGAAGACACUUUGCAACAUAUAUGAGAGCAAGAACUUGUCCAACAUCCUCUUCACAAGAAGGAAAUUCUUCACUUGUAAGAUGGAAGAAGGUGAAGACCUCAUGGCACAUGUUAAUAAGGUAAAGGCCCUUGCAAAUCAACUAGCAAUUAUUGACAAGCCUUUAGAGGAUGGUGACAUUGUCAUGACUCUAUUCAUGAGUCUUCUCGAGUCCUACAACUACCUCAUUGUGGCAUUGGAGUCUUUGAGGUUGAAGGAGCUUACAAUGGACUAUGUGACAUGAUUUGUUAACAAAGGCAUUGGUCAAAGAUAGACAUCAUAUGUUGACAAAGGCAUUAGGUUUGAAGGGCUUUGACGAUUAGCAAAGUGGCAGUGUUGAGGUAAAAGAUAAAGAUGAAUAGAUAAUAGUUAAAGUAGAAUAAGUUAUCUUGUAAAGGAUAUUACNNNNNNNNNNNNNNNNNNNNNNNNNNNNNNNNNNNNNNNNNNNNNNNNNNNNNNNNNNNNNNNNNNNNNNNNNNNNNNNNNNNNNNNNNNNNNNNNNNNNNNNNNNNNNNNNNNNNNNNNNNNNNNNNNNNNNNNNNNNNNNNNNNNNNNNNNNNNNNNNNNNNNNNNNNNNNNNNNNNNNNNNNNNNNNNNNNNNNNNNNNGAUCCUUGGAUACCCUCGUGGUAUGAGCUAAAGGAUCCAAGGAGCAUAUGUGUAAAAGUCAAAUGGUGGAAGAAGUCCUUUUAGGGCAGCAACCACCACCUAUAAGUAACGAGAGUUAGAAGAAAGAACCAUCUCAUUCCACACUUCUCUUAUGUGUAACCUUGCUGAUUUUUACUUACUUGUGUUAUGCUUAUAGUGUUUUUUUCUCAAUACUUACAACGAUGAGAAACAAGUUUACUCAUGAAUGCAUAAUCAUCUCCUCCAACUUCAUCAUAUGCAUUGUUAGCAUUUUCUCUAUUUUCUUUCUUGGCCUUGUAGCAAUUUUGCGCAAAAUGACCUAGUUUGCUACAAAUGAAGCAAGUUCUUGCAUUCCUUCUCACAUUUUCAAGUUGGUUGGAAUAGAUACCUUUGCCUUGUGCUGAGAAGAGAGCUGAAUCUUCACUUUGAUGCUCCUUCUCUUUCCUUUUAGUUACUUCAUGUGCAAGUCUUGAUGUCACAUAGUCCAUUGUAAGCUCUUUCAACCUCAAAGACUCCAAUUCCACAAUGAGGUAGUUGUAGGACUCGGGAAGACUCAUGAGGAGAGUCAUGACAAUAUCACCAUCCUCUAAAGGCUUCUCAAAAAUUGCGAGUUGAUUUACAAGAGCCUUUACCUUAUUAACAUGUGCCAUGAGGUCUUCACCUUCUUCCAUCUUACAAGUGAAGAAUUUCCUUCUUGUGAAGAGGAUGUUGGACAAGUUCUUGCUCUCAUAUAUGUUGCAAAGUGUCUUCCAUGCUUCCGCUGGUCCUUUGCAAUGGAUAAUGUGAGAAAAGUUGGCUUCAUCCAAAUUUGUGGCAAUCAUUCCAAAAGCCUUCUUUUCACGUCUUUUGAAGUCCUUGUGGUCCUUAGGGCUUGCAUCUAUGCUUGGAGGGUCUUCACUCUCAUCUACAAUGUCCCAAAGGUCCAAAGACGCCAACAAAAGCUCCAUUUUGACCUUCCAAUGGUAGAAAUUGUUGCCUCUAAACUUCUCAAUCACUCUCAAACCUUCAUCUUCACUAGAAGCCAUGUUUGAGGAGGAGUGUAUCAAAAAAUAUUGAGAGAAGGAGUCUCUAAAAGCUUAAAGUCACCAAACGAAGUUUGCACUAGCAGAAUCUCAGAAUGCCCUGUUUUGAACAAAAGAGUGGUAUCUCACUGAAAACACUUUCAACUCAACUUGUGAAGCUUUCUACAAGUAAUUGCACCCUCAUGGAACUCAUAAUCACUCGUCUUAAUCACUUUCUCAUCAAAACACUUAAGGAUAAUGAAGAAACUUCACCAACUCAAAAGACACUAUCAAGGUCUUUGUACAAAGUCUUAACCUCACAAAGCAAGGAGAUAAGAACCCACAAAGCAAUCUUAUAUUGAAGAAAUACUAUAAGCAUAACACAAGUAUGUAGAAAUCAGCAAGGUUGCACAUAAGAGAAGUGUGGAAUGAGAUGACUCUUACUUCCAACACCUGUUACUUAUAAUCAAAGUUCACAUCCAAUAUGUAUAGACUUCAUAUUGAGAAAAGAACACUAUAAGCAUAACACAAGUAAGUAGAAAUCAGCAAGGUUGCACAUAAGAGAAGUGUGGAAUGAGAUGGUUCUCUCUUCGAACUCUCGUUACUUAUAGGUGGUGGUUGCUGCCCUAAAAGGACUUCUUCCACCAUUUGACUUUUACACAUAUGCUCCUUGGAUCCUUUAGCUCAUACCACGAGGGUAUCCAAGGAUCCUAGGAUCCUAUGGCAUCUUACAUACCACGAGGGUAUCUUAUGCCAUAUACUAAUUACUCUUACCUAGUUCUUUGGAUAUUCCCUAGGACACACUUUAUCCUCUUGACUUUGACUCUUUGUCUUUGACCGCAUCCUAUGUCCAUACGAUGUUUUUUCUAUAUGCCAAGAGUCAAGCCUUUGACCAUUAGCAACUUACCUAAGGUUAUAUCCUUUACGAGGUAACUUAUUCUACGUUAACUAUUAUCUAUUCAUCUUUAUCUUUUACCUCAACACUCUCACUUUGCUAAUUGUCAAAGCCCUUCAAACCUAAUGCCUUUGUCAACAUAUGAUGUCUAUCUUUGACCAAUGCCUUUGUUAACAAAUCAGCAAGCAUAUCUUCUAUUGCACAAUACUUCAAGUCAAUCACUCCCAUUUCAAUCUUCUCUCUUAUAAAGUAGUGUUGAAUGUCAAUGUGCUUGAUUCUUGAAUGAUGCUUUGGAUUCUUUGCAAAAGCAAGGCAUCCUUGAUUGUCACAAUUCAAUAGAGUUGCUUCUAAUUGCUGUCACGGACCAAAAAUACAAACAAGAAAUCUAAACAAAAAGUUCUAGAAGAAAUGACAAGAACUAGAUUAUCAGAUGAGUACAAGAGCAACGCUAAGAGAAUUGAGCUAAAGCUUCAAGAGAUGUGUUGUCAAGACUGAAGAACUCUUCACCCUCGACUCCUAUAUAUACUACUGGCCUAUGGUUCUAUGGAAGCGCAUCAAGUAGCUUCCCAAGAACUAUGAAGCUUCUCGAGCAACUACCCAGGAGCUAGGAAGCUUCUCAAGUAACUUCCUAGAAUCUACUAGAAUAUUCUAAGAAUCUUCUAGAGCCUUCUAAAGAAAUAUUUAGAGAAUCUUCAAAAAUCUUUAGAGAAUCUUUGAAGAAUAUUCUAAGAGAAUAUUCAAGGAAUCUUCUAGAAGUUUCUAGAGACUUCUUUCUAGAAGGUUCUAGAAACUUGUCUCUAGAAAGGUCUAACAACUAUGUCCCUAACAAUUGCACAAGUCCAAUGUCCUCCAAAACUUGCCUUAACCAUGUUGCUUCCAUUGCACCAUGGCUUGCUGCUAUGUACUCCGCCUCCAUUGUGGACCUUGCAAUUGUGGGUUGCCUCUUGCAAUUCCAUGAAAUUGCUCCCACUCCAACAAAGAAUACAUAGCCCGUUGUUGACCGCGUAUCAUUUACAUCUCCUGCCCAAUCCGCAUCACAAUAACCAUGCAAAGCAAUACUUUCACCUUCAAGUCACAAUUUGAAGUCCAAAGUGCUGUUCAAGUACCUCAUGAUUC
rnacentral:lncRNA from 1 species